rnacentral:rRNA from 1 species
AGAGUUUGAUCAUGGCUCAGAACGAACGCUGGCGGCAGGCUUAACACAUGCAAGUCGAACGAGACCUUCGGGUCUAGUGGCGCACGGGUGCGUAACGCGUGGGAAUCUGCCCUUGGGUUCGGAAUAACAGUUAGAAAUGACUGCUAAUACCGGAUGAUGUCUUCGGACCAAAGAUUUAUCGCCCAGGGAUGAGCCCGCGUCGGAUUAGCUAGUUGGUGGGGUAAAAGCCUACCAAGGCGACGAUCCGUAGCUGGUCUGAGAGGAUGAUCAGCCACACUGGGACUGAGACACGGCCCAGACUCCUACGGGAGGCAGCAGUGGGGAAUAUUGGACAAUGGGCGAAAGCCUGAUCCAGCAAUGCCGCGUGAGUGAUGAAGGCCUUAGGGUUGUAAAGCUCUUUUACCCGGGAUGAUAAUGACAGUACCGGGAGAAUAAGCCCCGGCUAACUCCGUGCCAGCCGCCGCGGUAAUAC